rnacentral:tRNA from 1 species
GCCUGGGUGGCUCAGUUGGUUGAGCAUCUGACUCUUGAUUUCAGUUCACAUCAUGAUUUCGCGGUUCGUGGGUUCGAGCUCUGCUUCAGGCC